rnacentral:lncRNA from 1 species
UUUUUUUUUUUUUUUUUUUUUACGGAGUCUCACUCUAUCCCCAGGCUGGUGUGCAGUGGCGUGAUCUCGGCUCACUGCAUCCUCCAACUCCUUGGUUCAAGCCAUUCUCCUGCCUUAGCCUCCUGAGUAGCUGGAAUUACAGGCACGUGCCACCAUGCCUGGCUAAUUUUUGUAUUUUUAGUAGAGAUGGGGUUUCACCAUCUUGGCCAGGAUGGUCUUGACCUCCUAACCUCGUGAUCCACCCACCUCAGCCUCCCAAAGUGCUGGGAUUACAGGCAUGAGCCACCGUGCUUGGCCUUUUUAAAAUUUUUGUUUUUUUGAGACAGAGUCCUGCUCAGUCGCCCAGGCUGGAGUGCAGUGGUGCGAUCUCGGCUCACUGCAACCUCCACCUCCCAGGCUCAAGCCAUUCUCCUGCUUCAGUCUCCCGAGUAGCUGGGCUUACAGGUGCCUGCCACCAUGCCUGGCUAAUUUUUGUAUUUUUAGUAGAGAUGGAGUUUCACCAUGUUAGCCAGGCUGGUGUUGAACUCCUGACUUUGUGAUCCGCCCACCUCAUCCUUCCAAAGUGCUGGCAUAUUACAGGAGUGAGCCACUGUGCCUGACGUUUUUUUGUUUGUUUGGUUUUGGUUUUGGUUUUGAGACGAGUUUUGCUCAGUCGCCCAGGCUGGAGUGUAAUGGCACGAUCUUGGCUCACUGCAACCUCCACUCCUGGAUGCAAGCGAUUCUCCCGCCUCAGCCUCCUGAGUAGCUGGGAUUACAGGUGUGAGGUCCUUUUUGCCUCUUUCUAGGUUUUGGCAGAUUAUCAUCAACAUAAAUUCUAGUGACUUGAGAGUUUAUGAUAGUUGCGUUCCAGAUAAUUUAGGAGUUAUCACACUCACCCCUGCGGUGGGUUCUGUCCCAUGUUGCGUUCGGGAAAGGCAAAUAUGAAUUAGGUUUUUUCCUCUCGCAUAUGUUGUGGGAGGUGAUCUUGAUUUACAUACAAAUGUCUGCCCCUAAUCUCCUUCCCUAUCUCCCUUUGAAAUUUUUCUUGUUUCUGAGAAUCUGUGGGGAAAACAGGCAUCAAGUCAAAUGUUGUCAUACAGGUAGACCCCCUGCAUCAGGCCUCAGGGGCUUGUGCCAAAAACAGCGAUCACAAUGAAUGGGAGUGCUGCUACAGGCUGCAGCCUGGAUGAACCUUGAAGACACCAGGCUAAGAGAAAGAAACAGCC